UUGUAUGAUGUCUACAAAAAAAAUAAAUGUAUAUCGUUGUCGGGACCGAGUUAUCGUCUUCUGUCCUCCGAAACAAUUUCACUCAUCUUCUUCGAGAACCUAGGUCACAAAUUCGUUGUCAUAAGGAGAUGAAGGUUCAAUCGAUUUCUUCAUCUGAUCAAACGAAUAGAUCACCGAUACACCGAUAGUUUGCUACGAAUUUUUGAUUUUUAAUAGCUAUCACCACUUUGCAAAAAUUCUUUUCCUUUUCUCUUCUACUCUUCGAAUCCAGCUCGUUUUAUUGCUGAUUCUUGUAAUUUUAUUGUCGAUUAGAGCUGUGAAUUGAAGAUUUAAUCACCAAUCCCUUCCUUAUUGUAAGUACCGCGAUUUCUCCUCUUUGUCUCUCUCGCUUCAAACCGAAGAUGCUUGAUUGUAAGAUUAAAGCGGAGGAGAAGGAGAUUAAUCAACCUCAAGAGUGCUCGACCUCCGAUUGUUCUUUGCCGAGUCGGGUCUCCACCACCACCAUCAACGGAACUUCUUCCAAUUUGGGCCUGUUUCUGGACCUCUGACCUCUGAUUUUCUGCAGCCUUUUCAAUAUUUUUCUUCAGAACUUUAUCAAGAUUAGACAUGAACUCAACAUGUUCUGCACACCCGGCUCUCUGGUGUGAUAUAACUUGUGGUUGGUUUGUAGAUUGCUGGCUCAUGGAUGCAGCCGUGUGGAUUCAGUAGAAGGAAACCGUGGAUUAACAUUGGUGAUGUCUUUGAAUGCAUCUCUUGAAGAUUUCUGCAAAUGACUUGAGUUGGUAUGGCAUAGUGAUGCAGCGUAGAAUUAGGAUAAUUCCCAUUUAUUUAUAUUUUAAUUAUAUUAUUUAUUUUAGUUUUUAUCUUUUAGUGUUUCUAGAAUAUUCUAGGGUUUUCUUAUGUUUUAUUAUAAAUAAGCCGUUAAGGCCUCCUUUUGUAGACAGUGGAUUAAUUAAUUAAAUUAAAGAGCUUUUAGCUUUUCAGGGAAGAGUAUUCUCUAAUCCUUGUUUUCGGUAGAUCUCGAGAGAUCUCAACGAUUAUAAGAAGACGUAGGAUUCGGUAUUCGCGGAGAAUCAACGAAUUCCUCACGUUCUCUCGUUUCUGGUAUUCUGAGAAAUCAACAGAUCCGAGAAACCCUAGUUUUCCAGUAUUCCGAGGAAUCAACGGAUCUCUAGUUCUAUCCUUAGAAGCUUCCGCUACGUCAGUUGGUAUCAGAGCUCUGUCUCUUUGAUUUCUCAAUUGAAGAACGAUUCUGGUGAUCAUGUUGAGUGGUAACUUUUAUCCCUUUGCAGAAGAAAGUUUGUUUGAAGAUGGUUACAGAGAAAUCUACGGUGAUCCUAUCUACGAUAUCUAUGAAGAUGAUGAUGUCUUAGUUAUUGAUCAUGUCGAUUUUGUGUUCAGCGAUGGUGCGUUCGAGAAAAUCUGUGCAGAAUUCGGGCAAGAUACUCUUCGUGCAAAAUCCGGGCGUAGUCAGAUCUGUGCAAAAUUCGGGUUUCCUGCAGAAAUCAUGAAAGAUCAGAUCUGUGCAAGUUUCGUACAAAUUCCGGUCCGUGCAAAUUUCGGGUCUGAUCCAGUUCGUGCGAAAAUCGGACCUGACGAGAUUCGUGCAAAAAUCGGGUGUGAUAAGAUCAAUGCGAAAAUCGUGCAGAAAGUACUUGGUGCGAAUUUUGGGUAUGAUUCGUUUCAUGAAGAUUUUUGGAAAAAAAUAUUUCGUACAAAUUUCGGGUCAGAUCCAGUUCGUGCAAAAAUCGGGCAGAAUCAAAAGAUGGAGAUAAAGCUGAAUCUUCGAAGAUCUCCAAUGCUGAAAACCCUGCUGAAGAUUAGAGGUCGAAUCUUUCUUGGGCGGCGAGAGCUGAUACAGCGCAGUUACAAGAUUCGAGGACGAAUCUUUUCUUGGCCGGCGAGACCUGAUGCAGCGUAGAAUUAGGAUAAUUUCCAUUUAUUUCUAUUUUAAUUAUAUUAUUUAUUUUAGUUUUUAUCUUUUAUAUUUCUAGAAUAUUCUAGGGGUUUCUUAUGGUUUAUUAUAAAUAAGCCGUUAAGGCCUCCUUUUGUAGACAGUGGAUUAAUUAAUUAAAUUAAAGAGCUUUUAGCUUUUUAGAGAAGAGUGUUCUCUAAUCCUUGUUUUCGGUAGAUCUCGAGAGAUCUCAACGAUUAUAAGAAGACGUAGGAUUCGGUAUUCGCGGAGAAUCAACGAAUUCCUCACGUUCUCUCGUUUCUGGUAUUCUGAGGAAUCAACAGAUCCGAGAAACCCUAGUUUUCCGGUAUUCCGAGAAUCAACGGAUCUCUAGUUCUAUCCUUAUAAGCUUCCGCUACUUCACCUAGUGACGCCAGCCCAGAAAGAGGACUUAUACCUGGUCAUAUAACAAUGGAAUGCUUUGUAGGGACGCACAUCUUUGAGGAAGGCAAAGGUAGAAGCCAUUGCUAUGAACUAAAGGUAUUAAAUUUCGGAGUAAGGAGGUUUUUGAGUUUGGUGAGAGGAAUAGGUGAAUAGUAGUGAGUAUAUAUAGGAAAAAGAAUUAGGUUACGUGAAGAUUAAUUUUUGGAAUAAUAUCUUCAUAUAUGUUAUAUUGUUAGGAAUAUACCAUUUUUAUGCCCGGUAAAUUCCGUAUAUUUACGAAAUUUCGAUGGUGAAUAUAUCUCUUGAUUUCGUGUUAAAUUUGGUAUGUUAGAGAUAUCGCAAUAUUUAUUCACAGUAGUUUAGAUAUAUAUGAUAGGAUUUGGAAAUAUAUAUUUUAGGAAUAGUAUUGGAUUGAUUGGAGGGAUUUAUUUUGUUGAAUUAAUUACGUUGGAAAAGAAGAAAGUUAGGAGAUAUGGAAUUGUGAUUACGUAUAGUAUUAGUUUUGUUAGGAUGCUUAUUUUAUGCUUUCUAAGCAAAUCGUUUGGGAGGAGAUAUUUUUGCAAGUUAUGGUACAAAAGAAUUAUGUAAAACUGUUUUGGUAAGAGAUAUUAAAAGGAUCCGUAAAUGUGGAUUAAUUUAAGGAAAUUAAUUAA